rnacentral:rRNA from 1 species
CUGCGGAGGACAUUAAUGAAUUCACUAUGGAGUUGUUGCUGGCCUCUAGGGGCAUGUGCACGCUUCACUAGUCUUUCAACCACCUGUGAACUUUUGAUAGAUCUGUGAAGUCGUCUUUCAAGUCGUCAGACUUGGUUUGCUGGGAUUUAAACGUCUCGGUGUGACAACGCAGUCUAUUUACUUAACACACCCCAAAUGUAUGUCUACGAAUGUCAUUUAAUGGGCCUUGUGCCUAUAAACCAUAAUACAACUUUCAACAACGGAUCUCUUGGCUCUCGCAUCGAUGAAGAACGCAGCGAAAUGCGAUAAGUAAUGUGAAUUGCAGAAUUCAGUGAAUCAUCGAAUCUUUGAACGCACCUUGCGCCCCUUGGUAUUCCGAGGGGCAUGCCUGUUUGAGUGUCAUUAAAUUCUCAAACUCACUUUGGUUUUUUCCAAUUGUGAUGUUUGGAUUGUUGGGGGCUGCUGGCCUUGACAGGUCGGCUCCUCUUAAAUGCAUUAGCAGGACUUCUCAUUGCCUCUGCGCAUGAUGUGAUAAUUAUCACUCAUCAAUAGCACGCAUGAAUAGAGUCCAGCUCUCUAAUCGUCCGCAAGGACAAUUUGACAAUUUGACCUC